CAUGUAGGUAUCUUCCCUUUGGUGAGGAAUAACACGAGGAAACUUGUGCUAAUACCUCAUAAGUCUUUACGGAGAAAGCUUUAUGCGCCGAAGGAUGAGCCUGCACUUGAUUAGUUUGUUGGUGGGGUAAUGGCCUACCAAGACUUUGAUCUAUAGCUGAUCUGAGAGGAUGAUCAGCCACAUUGGGACUGAGACACGGCCCAAACUCCUACGGGAGGCAGCAGUAGGGAAUAUUGCACAAUGGAGGAAACUCUGAUGCAGCGAUGCCGCGUGAGUGAAGAAGGCCUUUGGGUUGUAAAC
rnacentral:rRNA from 1 species